CCCUUGGUGGUGUAGUUGGUUAUCGCGUUCGGCUGUAAUUGUAAGAUUGUAUACCGAAAUGUCGCCGGUUCGAUUCCGGCCCGAGGGA
rnacentral:tRNA from 1 species